UUCUUUCCAUUGUCCAAUUUGAAUAGAGAGAGACUUCCGGUGAAAUUACUCGUUAAUCCUCACCUGUGUCGGUUUGGUCUUUGCCCUCGAUUUUGCUCAAUCGGUGUACCUCCGUUGCAAAAAAUUGCCUUUCGAUUAAUUGUUUUCAAUUCUAGCGGUGAUUUCUAAUCUAAGCCGAGGUCGUGAGAAUCAGACGUGCUCGGGCACGAAAUCAUUUGUCUGCUCGAAUUAAAGAUUGAUGGUCCUCAGCUAUCCUGCAGUGAGAGGCACCUCAAAGAUUUCUCACGGCAAGGCAGACUCACUACGAUCAUGGUUCUGCAAGGCCUCUGCGGGUCAUAUGAAUAUCCAGCCCACCCGCACCCUUCAAUGAGAACGUAUUCUGUACGGACUAUUUUGAAUGUUUCUUCGUGAUCCUACCAGAUCCCAUCAUCUUCAGUUCCUUCAGCCGAAAGUCCAUGGCUCUUCCUCUCUUGCUUUCCUCUUCUUUUUCCCAUCAUGUAGCAGCCGAAAUGGAUGAUAGCAGUUGAAGCAAGGGAUGGCAGAGGAAAUUCAAGUAAUAAGCUAGAGCAGCAGCCUGCACAAUACACACAAACAGCAACCAUGUUUAGCUUUUCUGUGAAUAUCUGCUGCUGUCUAGAAUUUAUGUUGUGAGUUUCACCUUCCUUUUCUCACAUCUUUCUUCUAUAUCUUGUGUAUUUGAGUGGAUAAUCAUAAGGAAGGAAAAUAGGAUCUGUAAAUAGGAUUUUAAACCCACCUGUUAGAGCUCAAAGUACAUCAGGAAAUUUGUGAUGUUUUCUAUUUGUGCUGCAGCAGUUUCCCCUUCAUUUUUAGCUUAUAUCUUCACUCUACAAGGCUGGAAUUUUGGCUUAAAUUUCUUUUGUAAGAAGACUAAGUUCAGUUUAGUUUAAAACUCCAUCAUUUUUCCCUCUCUUAGUUCACAUUUAGCACCUAAAAAGAUAGCAGCAACACACUUCCAAGUUCUGGAAUUUUCUGCAACAGAUUCUGUCAUGGUGUCUUCCAACCUCAUCUGUCCUUACAUUUUUGCCCUAAUACUUGUGUUUAGUUGGGUGUGUAACCAAGUGGAGGGAAGGUAGAAACAUGCAUAAUUCGUGCAAUCUACUGCUUGAAGAGGUGAGAUAAUUUUCUGCCUUGUUUUGUUCCAAGCUGUACAGUUUCUACAAAAAAGUUCUGCUAUAGUUUUAACUAUACUUCUUCCUCUAUUUGAAUCACUUUUCAAUUAUG